rnacentral:rRNA from 1 species
UACGUACCGUCCAAACGUUAUUCGGAUUUACUGGGCUUAAAGGGUGCGUAGGCGGCUCAGAAAGUAGGGUGUGAAAGCCCUCGGCUUAACCGAGGAAUCGCGCUCUAAACUACUGGGCUUGAGGAACGCAGAGGUAAGCGGAACUUACGGUGGAGCGGUGAAAUGCGUUGAAAUCGUAAGGAACACCAGGAGCGAAAGCGGCUUACUGGGCGUUUUCUGACGCUGAUGCACGAAAGCUAGGGGAG